UACGUAGGGCGCGAGCGUUGUCCGGAAUCAUUGGGCGUAAAGAGCUCGUAGGCGGCCGGUUGCGUCUGCUGUGAAAUCCCGGGGCUUAACCCCGGGCGUGCAGUGGAUACGGGCUGGCUGGAGGCAGGCAGGGGAGAAUGGAAUUCCCGGUGUAGCGGUGAAAUGCGCAGAUAUCGGGAGGAACACCGGUGGCGAAGGCGGUUCUCUGGGCCUGUGCUGAGGCUGAGGAGCGAAAGCGUGGGGAGCGAACAGG
rnacentral:rRNA from 1 species